UGUUGCUGGUGAGAGUGCUGUGUGUGAGUGGUGAGUGUUUGUGUUGUAUGAAUGUGCGAGUGGUUAAUUAGGAGUAUAUUUAAAAAUCUACACCGUGAUCUUAUUUGAUCUGAUCCGUGUUUUUGCCCUGCGCGGAUUCAGAAAUGAUAAGAAGAGACUCGUGAGUCCUCCGUGGCGCUGAGCGUUGGGCUUUUAUAGCCGCAUAGCAGCUUCAGGGCACCGCAAUUGAGAUUGUGGUUAGAAAUGAUGAAUCGAUCAGAUAUACUAGUGCCGGUGGGAUUAUGGAGGAUUUCCUUCAGUCUUUCUUUACUGGUCUAUGAGUAUAGAGGCGAUUCUGAUCCUC